GAUGAACGCUGGCGGCGUGCCUAAUACAUGCAAGUCGAGCGAACGGACGAGAAGCUUGCUUCUCUGAUGUUAGCGGCGGACGGGUGAGUAACACGUGGAUAACCUACCUAUAAGACUGGGAUAACUUCGGGAAACCGGAGCUAAUACCGGAUGAUAUUUUGAACCGCAUGGUUCAAAAGUGAAAGACGGUCUUGCUGUCACUUAUAGAUGGAUCCGCGCUGCAUUAGCUAGUUGGUAAGGUAACGGCUUACCAAGGCAACGAUGCAUAGCCGACCUGAGAGGGUGAUCGGCCACACUGGAACUGAGACACGGUCCAGACUACUACGGGAGGCAGCAGUAGGGAAUCUUCCGCAAUGGGCGAAAGCCUGACGGAGCAACGCCGCGUGAGUGAUGAAGGUCUUCGGAUCGUAAAACUCUGUUAUUAGGGAAGAACAUAUGUGUAAGUAACUGUGCACAUCUUGACGUUACCUAAUCAGAAAGCCACGGCUAACUACGUG
rnacentral:rRNA from 1 species